GCAAGCUUUAAAAAUUCUAAAUUCAUGAAAUCCAAACAUAUAAACAUAUAACAUUCGUACAAUAUUCCAUCCUUAUAUCAAUCUAGCAAUAUAUACUGCGAAAACCAGAGGUUAUCAAUCUAGCAAUAUAUACUGCAAAAACCAGCAUCACAGUAGAUCAAGAAACAGUCUAGACAGAUAAUAGAUGGAGGACAUAAAAACCUCCCCCUUGAAAACAUCAACUUUUUGUACUCCCAAAGAAUCUGGAAAGUGGCAAAGGACCGUCAGCCUCUUCACCGCUGCUAGAGUGCUUGGAUCUUGAUCUGUGCUUUUUCUCUUUCUUCCUUCUCUUAGACCUUGAUUUUGAUCUUCUUGAUUCUCUCCCUUCAUCCUCGCUACUUGAAGAUUCUGAGGAUGAACUUGAAGAUUUUGACUCGGAAGAUUGAUUAGCAGAGCAAAUGGCUAAAGCAAGCAAACUGUUUGAAAAUUUCCGUGAUGCCCAGAGCAGUGGCUGGCUGGCCACCCCCGCCCCUGCCCCAGCCCCUAGUUGGGGAGGAAAAUGUUAUGUGGUUAGCAUCAUUUGGAGCCGAACAAAUUUGUGAAACAAAAAUAGAAAAUUAAAACAUACUUGAACAAUUUCUUGUACUCAUUUUACAGCUGAAGAUAUCUCUUGAGAGCAGUGCAAAUUGUGAUAAAAAAAUUCUGAAAACUAGUUUUAAGAAGACUAAAACUUUAAGCCAUAGAACUGGCUGAUAAAAAUUUAAGAUUUGUUGGAUAGGGGUUUCAUGAUCCUAGGUGGAGGUACUUUGACCCUUGUUCACAAAGGGAGCAAAUUCUCGCACCACCCCAACCCCCUUAACUCAUGAAGUGCAAAAAAAAAAAAAACUUGUGGUGUUGACCACUGCAUUUUGUACCAUAUUCUUUCAUAAUUCUAGUUAUAGGGUGAAUGAUUAGAUUAAAUUCGUUUUUAAAAGAUUUACUAUGUCUUGCCUUUUCAGAACAAUGGUAUGUUUUAUAGUUUCUGAAGACAUGAGCUGUCUCUAUUGAAGUAUGUA
rnacentral:lncRNA from 1 species